rnacentral:rRNA from 1 species
GAGCGAAGCGGGAAGAGCUCAAAUUUAUAAUCUGGCACCUUCGGUGUCCGAGUUGUAAUCUCUAGAAAUGUUUUCCGCGUUGGACCGCACACAAGUCUGUUGGAAUACAGCGGCAUAGUGGUGAGACCCCCGUAUAUGGUGCGGACGCCCAGCGCUUUGUGAUACAUUUUCGAAGAGUCGAGUUGUUUGGGAAUGCAGCUCAAAUUGGGUGGUAAAUUCCAUCUAAAGCUAAAUAUUGGCGAGAGACCGAUAGCGAACAAGUACCGUGAGGGAAAGAUGAAAAGCACUUUGGAAAGAGAGUUAACAGUACGUGAAAUUGUUGGAAGGGAAACGCUUGAAGUCAGACUUGCUUGCCGAGCAAUCGGUUUGCAGGCCAGCAUCAGUUUUCCGGGAUGGAUAAUGGUAGAGAGAAGGUAGCAGUUUCGGCUGUGUUAUAGCUCUCUGCUGGAUACAUCUUGGGGGACUGAGGAACGCAGUGUGCCUUUGGCGGGGGUUUCGACCUCUUCACACUUAGGAUGCUGGUGGAAUGGCUUUAAACGACCCGUCUUG